GACAGAGGUGCCAAGCGUUAGGCGGAAUCACUGGGCUUAAAGCGUGUGUAGGUGGAUGUCUAAGUACCUUGUGAAAUCCCACGGCUCAACCGUGGAACUGCUUGGUAUACUGGAUGUCUUGAGCCACUUAGGGGCUACCGGAACAAAUGGUGGAGCGGUGAAAUGCGUAGAUAUCAUUUGGAACGCCAAUGGUGAAAACAGGUAGCUGGGAGUGUGCUGACACUGAGACACGAAAGCCAGGGGAGCGAACGGGG
rnacentral:rRNA from 1 species